AGCAGUCGCCACGGGAAUACGAGGGGAGCUAGCGUUAUUCGGAUUGAUUGGGUGUAAAGGGUGUGCAGACGGCUUAUUAAGUCACUUGUUAAAUUCUUCGGCCUAACUGAAGGUCUGCAAGUGAUACUGAUGAGCUAGAGGGUGGAAGAGAGAAGUGGAAUUCUCGGAGUAGCGGUAAAAUGCGUAGAUCUCGAGAGGAACACCAAUGGCGAAGGCAGCUUCUUGGUCCAUUCCUGACGUUCAUACACGAAAGAGUGGGGAGCAAACAGGAUUAGAUACCCGCGUAGUCCCUGUCUCUUAUAU
rnacentral:rRNA from 1 species